GACGAACGCUGGCGGCGUGCUUAACACAUGCAAGUCGAACGGUAAGGCCCUUCGGGGUACACGAGUGGCGAACGGGUGAGUAACACGUGGGUGAUCUGCCCUGCACUUCGGGAUAAGCCUGGGAAACUGGGUCUAAUACCGGAUAGGACCAUGGACUUCACGGUUUGUGGUGGAAAGCUUUUGCGGUGUGGGAUGGGCCCGCGGCCUAUCAGCUUGUUGGUGGGGUAAUGGCCUACCAAGGCGACGACGGGUAGCCGGCCUGAGAGGGUGUCCGGCCACACUGGGACUGAGAUACGGCCCAGACUCCUACGGGAGGCAGCAGUGGGGAAUAUUGCACAAUGGGCGCAAGCCUGAUGCAGCGACGCCGCGUGAGGGAUGACGGCCUCGGUUGUAACCGUCUUCUAUAGGACGAAGCGCAAGUGAC
rnacentral:rRNA from 1 species